AUCUGCCUGGUAGUGGGGGACAACGUUUCGAAAGGAACGCUAAUACCGCAUACGUCCUACGGGAGAAAGCAGGGGACCUUCGGGCCUUGCGCUAUCAGAUGAGCCUAGGUCGGAUUAGCUUGUUGGUGAGGUAAUGGCUCACCAAGGCGACGAUCCGUAACUGGUCUGAGAGGAUGAUCAGUCACACUGGAACUGAGACACGGUCCAGACUCCUACGGGAGGCAGCAGUGGGGAAUAUUGGACAAUGGGCGAAAGCCUGAUCCAGCCAUGCCGCGUGUGUGAAGAAGGUCUUCGGAUUGUAAAGCACUUUAAGUUGGGAGGAAGGGUUGUAGAUUAAUACUCUGCAAUUUUGACGUUACCGACAGAAUAAGCACCGGCUAACUCUGUGCCAGCAGCCGCGGUAAUACAGAGGGUGCAAGCGUUAAUCGGAAUUACUGGGCGUAAAGCGCGCGUAGGUGGUUUGUUAAGUUGGAUGUGAAAGCCCCGGGCUCAACCUGGGAACUGCAUCCAAAACUGGCAAGCUAGAGUACUGUAGAGGGUGGUGGAAUUUCCUGUGUAGCGGUGAAAUGCGUAGAUAUAGGAAGGAACACCAGUGGCGAAGGCGACCACCUGGACUGAUACUGACACUGAGGUGCGAAAGCGUGGGGAGCAAACAGGAUUAGAUACCCUGGUAGUCCACGCCGUAAACGAUGUCAACUAGCCGUUGGAAUCCUUGAGAUUUUAGUGGCGCAGCUAACGCAUUAAGUUGACCGCCUGGGGAGUACGGCCGCAAGGUUAAAACUCAA
rnacentral:rRNA from 1 species